rnacentral:lncRNA from 10 species
CCCACGCCUCUCCCCAGUAUGGUUAACGCCCCAGCCUCUCUGGGCUUCUAGGGCUAGGUUUGCUAAGCAACAUACAGAGCGUCCUGUAUUUUUGUUUGCUAAGUCCAACAGUUCUACCUGGAGCGGUUCAAGAGGGACAGGUUGGGGAGUUUGAAUCGUCUGUGCUCUUCAGUGGCUUUUCCCUGGGUGCAGAGCUGGAACGCACUCCCAUGUUGCCCUCCAGACCUGUGGGGCCGCUGCAAAAGAAAAUCUGCGUGAACUCAACGGCCUUGGAUGGAGCGGGCAGGAGCUGCUUCCAAGUUGAGACCCUUUGCAGAUUGGUGAGCAACUUUGCAAUGAGGAGCAGGAUCCUGAGAGAGAACAGAAGACCCUGACCCAUUGGUGCUCACUGAGCCUUGCCAACCUGUCAGAAAUGUUCGCCAUCGAGACUUGAAAGCAAAGAAAGUAAGGCCCAAGUCAUAAACUGGAAACAAAUCAAUAUCCAUCAACUGGUGAAUGGAUACAGAAGAUUUGGCAUAUCUACACCACAAGGGAACUACUCAGCAAUAGAAAGGAAUGAACUACUGAUAUAUGCAACAACACAGAUAAAACUCAAAAACAGUGUGCUAAGUGAAAAAAAACAGCCACAAAAGACACAUAAUAGAUGACUCCGUUUAUAUGAAAUCUAAUCAUAUGAAAAGAAAAGGCAAAAGUAGAGAAACAGAAAGCAGACAUUUUUCUUUGUAACCAGAACACCAAUUUUUGGAUUAUACAUACAUCUAUUUGGUGCCUCAGGAGGUUUUUACCCUAUGGGACAGUGGACCUUUGUGAUAUCCUGGGAGAAGGAAAGAUUUGCCUUCCUUUUAUAAGUGGUAGAAAUAGCUAUUGGGAAGGAGAAACAGUGUGGUGCUUGAAAUGCUGACCUCAGACAAGUCAUUUUAAGGAAACAAUACACGUGAUGUUAUGUCAGAUUCAGAGCAACCCCAGGAAACGUAUCUUACAGAUAGGAGCUGGGCUCUCAGGAUCCAUAUUAAACCAAAAUCAGAUGUUCAUGAUACUGAAGAUCUGUUCAUAUGCUGGGAAGACUGAGAUGUUGAUUUGAAUUUGAUAACAUAACGGUUCGUAUCACAUGUUUGUGCAAGAAUGUCCAUGCAGAAGUCUGACUGCUUUUUGUGGGGGUCAACCAAGUCAGAGACUGGAACGGCUACAGAGGAAAGGUAUCUUCUUGGUUUUCCUAUGAAGUUUCUUUUAAAAACAUAAUAAUGAAGAGUUUAUUUAUAAAUGUCCUCAGAGCAGAGAUAAUAUAAGUCAUGCGUAGAGACCAAAUCCCCCAGAAAUAUUAGAGAAGUCUUCAGAAUCCAUUCUUGUUGUCAUGCACAAAUCCUUUCUGGACAUCUGUUGUGACAGGACACCAUGUUUUUCUCAGCAGCGUUUUGUAAUUUUCAGUAUGCAGGUCUGGUAUGUAUUUUGAUAAAAUUGUCUGUAAAUAUUUUAUAUUUUGCUUAUUAUAAAUAUAUUGUUUUAAUUUCAUUUUGCAGUUGCUCAUGGCUAAUAUAUGGAAAUACUAUUGGUCCAUACUAUUGAUUCAAUAGUAUUUCUAAAUACUACGUAAAGAGAGACUUGAAGUAGAAUCCAGGGAGGAGGGACAUGUUCAUGUAAGGGUAAAAGACACAGCAAGAUAGAUCUUAUGCCAAGUGCUAAAAAAGCAGGAGGAAAGAGGAGAACUCAUAGGAGAAUCAGAGAGAAUUACAGGGAUCAAUAAGAGGUACAGUACAAGGUCUGCAAAGCAAAGAACGGAAUUUUCAGGAAGGAGAAGAUGACCAACAGCAUAAAUUAUUACAGCAAAGUUAAUGAAAUCAAAGACUAAAAAUAAGUAAGGUAAUUGCACUUAGCUAUUUGGAGGUUGUCAGUGACUGGAACAUGCAGUUUCAGUUGAGUGUGGAUGACGAAUUGGACAAUGUGAACACAGCUUAAAGUAGGACAUACUCAAGAUUAUAGUCAUCAUGCAUAACAAAGUAUUAGACAAUUGAAUCUGGCCAUAUAUAUAUAUAUAAAGAUAAUACACCACUAAAUUAUACACACAUACACAUGCACCAUAAAUAGUUGUUUUAUCUAUUAAUGAAAUUAACCAUAUAAAUAUAAUAAGGUAAAAAAUAAAGAAAACACACCUAUGAUCAUCUCAGUAGAUGUAGAAAAACAUUUAGCAAAAUGCUAUAUCCAUUUAUGAUUUUAAAAAACUCUCAGCAAACUAGAAAUUAAAGGGAACUUCCUUAAUCUAAUAAAAGGCAACUAGAAAAAAUCUACAACUAAUAUCUUACUUAGUGGGGAAAGCCUGAACAAAAUUAGACAAAUGAUAUAAAUCAUUGCUCUCACCAUUUAUAUUCAACAUUGUACUAGAGGUCCUAGAAAGUAUAAUAAGGCAAGAAAAAAAUGCAUACAAGUUGGAAAGGAAGAAGUAAAACUAGAGUUACUCACAGACAACAUGACCAUGAACCUAGAUAUUCUAAAAGACUCUCUCUCUUUCAAAAAAAAAAAGCCUACUACAACUGGUAAAUAGGUUUAGGAAGGUAAUAGGAUAGAAAGUUAGUAUGCUAAGACCAAUGAUAUUUCCAUGUACUAGGAAUGAGCAACUGCAAAUGAAAUUAAAAUAAUAUUUUUUGAUAGGC